AACUUUUAUUUAUUUUUAAAGAUUUUAUUUAUUUAUUCAUGAGAGAGAGAGAGAGAGACAGGGAGGGAGAGAGAGAGACAGAGAGGCACAGACACAGGCAGAGGGAGAAGCAGGCUCCGUGCAGGGAGCCUGACGUGGGACUCGAUCCUGAGUCUCCAGGAUCACGCCCUGGGCUGAAGGUGGCGCUAAAACGCUAAGCCACCCAGGCUGCCUGGGUACGGACUUUUACAGCAGCCUCCCCGCACUCAAAGGUGGCAGGUGGCAGGGCAAGCAGCUCAUUGCUGUCCAUCUCCUGCCUCUCCCCAUCAUGUCCCUCAGAACACAGUCUUUGGGUUUGUCAAGGGCCUGUUCUUGCCAGGCCCUAAGGUGGGUGGGCACUGCAGGGAUCAUGUCAGAGGACUAGGGAAGCAGACCCUUUCUGCAGGUCAACCACCCUCUGCUUGCACACCUCCAGGGACUAGGAGCUCACUACAACCCACACAGGCUAGGCCCACUUUACUCCCCUGCAGCCUUUCCCCUACCACCCUAAAUCCUAUCUCAAAUUCUGUCCAAGGGUGCAGCUCUUGGGCGACAGAUUCCAUCCUCUCGCCCCUUCCAUCUGUGGGCAUUCAAAAAGCCUUUUCACCUGCUCAGGCAUAGACCACACUCAGGCCUUUCCGACAGGCAGGUGAGGUGGUAUUUAUAACCAAGGAAUAAUUGGAUGUUAAUUCCUUUCUGCAGAAGAGUGACUGGAGUUUCAAUUUCUUCCUCUGCGAACUCUCAAGUGGGGCUAGCUGCAGCUGAGAGGCUAUGACUGACAUGCACGCACGGCCCAGGCUCACCCGCCCCCUCAGCCCCCACAGUGAUUCUUGUAAGGGCCUCAGAAGCCAUCAGCCCCCAACUCCCUUCCUCCCCAAUUCUACCACCAACCAGUGGCCAUCCUCACUUCAGGCGAGCAAGCCUCUUCCUGCCAGGUGUGGGAUUCCACAUUAUAAUCUAGCCUUGUCCAGGGGUGCCUGGCUGGCUCAGUAGGUAGUGUGUGACUCUUGAUCUCAGUGUUAUAUUCGAGCCCCACACUGGGUGUAGAGAUCACUUAAAAAAAAAAAAAAAAGUCUUAAGAAAAAAGAAUCUAGCCUAGUCCUGUCAGUCUGGUCACUGGUCCUUAAGGCAGGAAGGAGCCGCUGAUACAUCACCCCAAAAACUUCAGAAGCACUACUUCCACACACGAAUGGCUGACAAGGCCCAGCUCUCAGACACACCAGUGAGCCCUGAGCACCACCCACCACCACCCCUCGCCCACCUCCAGCCUCCCUCCUCAACCCCUCCUCUCAGAUAAGCCACCUACUCAGACCUCCACCCUGCUGCUGACCUCAAGAGAGACUUUGGUCCACUGAUAGGCAAUAACCCGGCUGAGUCUCUUGGCAAAGAUCCAUUUCCUAGGGGGAGAAAGAGUGUGAGCCCACGCCUGAUGAGCACCUGGGCUCCACACCCACUCCCACCACAGGUGAACUGUA
rnacentral:lncRNA from 1 species